GGUAGGUGGUCAAGCCAACUACCUCCAUUAGGCCAUCAUCGAUGGAGGGCUUCGAGGCGCCAAAGGAAUCGUUCCAAGGACUAUUGCAGUUCUCAAAUUAUGAAUUAAAAGAUUCUUUGCGGCUACCUACUCGUAUGAGCAAUCUUUAAGGCUUCAACCAUGUUACCCAUACGCACUACUCAGUUCUUGCAGUUCUCAAACUAUUAAUUUCAAAAUUCUUUGUGGCCACCUAGCCGUAUGAGCAAUCUUUAAGGCCUCAAUCCAUAUUACUCAUACGCACUGUAAGCACUUUAAAUGUAUUAUUAAAUUCAAUAUUACUAUAACAUUAAA